UGCGCUAGUUCAGGAGGAGC
rnacentral:miRNA from 1 species